UGCCUUUUUGGGCAGCUUAAAUUGCAAAAUGGGGAUAUUGUCAAAUAAAUAAGAUUUGUUCCUUUCUCUUUUUUCCCUUUUUCUAGAUCUCCACUUAAAAUUUUUAUUAGAGUGGAGCUGAAGGGAAUGCUACCAGAUGAAAACCCAGGCCUACAAAAAAAUAAUAAAAAGCAUUGAAAGUAAUUGCAACCAGAACGUGAGAUGAGACAGAAAAUCUAAGCAGCACAAACGCGAACUUGCUCAGUGUGGCAGAAUGCCUGAGGGAGCCGGGAGAUACUGAGAGGGGGAAGGAGAGACUAGAGAAAAGAUGAGGAGAAAGGACCACAGAGGAGAGGACAUAUGGGGACACAGUGUGAAGGCACCUAUCCGCAAGCCAGGAAGUGAGAUCGCAUCAGAAACCAACCUGAUGGCACCUUGACCUUGGACUUCAGUUCUCCAGAAGUGUGAGAAAAUAAAU